GCGUAAGCGCGCGCAGGCGGUUUCUUAAGUCUGAUGUGAAAGCCCCCGGCUCAACCGGGGAGGGUCAUUGGAAACUGGGAAACUUGAGUGCAGAAGAGGAAAGUGGAAUUCCAAGUGUAGCGGUGAAAUGCGUAGAGAUUUGGAGGAACACCAGUGGCGAAGGCGACUUUCUGGUCUGUAACUGACGCUGAGGCGCGAAAGCGUGGGGAGCAAACAGGAUUAGAUACCCUGGUAGUCCACGCUGUAAACGAUGAGUGCUAAGUGUUAGAGGGUUUCCGCCCUUUAGUGCUGAAGUUAACGCAUUAAGCACUCCGCCUGGGGAGUACGGUCGCAAGACUGAAACUCAAAGGAAUUGACGGGGGCCCGCACAAGUGGUGGAGCAUGUGGUUUAAUUCGAAGCAACGCGAAGAACCUUACCAGGUCUUGACAUCCUCUGACAACCCUAGAGAUAGGGCUUUCCCUUCGGGGACAGAGUGACAGGUGGUGCAUGGUUGUCGUCAGCUCGUGUCGUGAGAUGUUGGGUUAAGUCCCGCAACGAGCGCAACCCUUGAUCUUAGUUGCCAGCAUUUAGUUGGGCACUCUAAGGUGACUGCCGGUGACAAACCGGAGGAAGGUGGGGAUGACGUCAAAUCAUCAUGCCCCUUAUGACCUGGGCUACACACGUGCUACAAUGGAUAGUACAAAGGGU
rnacentral:rRNA from 2 species